GCCUCUUUAGCUCAGAUGGCCAGAGCGACCGCCUUGUAAGCGGUAGGUCGUCGGUUCGAUCCCGACAAGAGGCU
rnacentral:tRNA from 1 species